CCCUUAGAUGUUCUGGACCGCACGCGCGCUACACUGAUGCAUUCAACGAGUUUCUUCCUGGUCCGAGAGGAAUGGGUAACCUUUUGAAAGUGCAUCGUGAUAGGGAUAGACUAUUGCAAUUAUUGGUCUUCAACGAGGAAUUCCUAGUAGACGUAGUUCAUCAGACUGCAUCGAUUACGUCCCUGCCCUUUGUACACACCGCCCGUCGCUCCUACCGAUUGAAUGCUCAGGUGAGCCAUUCGGACUUUCAUCAUGCUGGUUUCCAGUUUUGAUGAAGGAAAGUCUUGCGAACCUUAUCAUUUAGAGGAAGGAGAAGUCGUAACA
rnacentral:rRNA from 1 species